rnacentral:lncRNA from 1 species
GAGACAGUCAGCAACCGGAUGUAGAAUGAAUCUGUUAAGUAAAGAGUGUUCCCUUUAGGAGAGCAGGAUGCAGGACAAUAGCCAGGAGAGAGCAAAAACUGUUUGAAAGAGUUGAGGGAUUUGUGAUGUCCUGCCUGACACACCAGCACCCCUGAAGACUCUGUCAAUGGCUUUCUCUCAAUUAGUCCCCCUGGACAGGUGGAAGCUGAGUAAUAAUAAACUAAC